rnacentral:lncRNA from 7 species
GAAAAAUGAAGAACAACUCUAAAAUUGUUGUUGUCUGAGGGCUGAAUUUUAUAUAAGAUGUGGAUGUUUCUUCAUAUUUGUCUCUGAAGAUGAGGACGGUGGCUGUUUUAAGCUCAUAUUUCCCUGUUUCCUUGUCAGCCUAAAAAUUCUCAUGAGGAUUUUCCCGUGUGAUCCCAGCAUCCACGUCUUGCGGCCUUGCAGUAAGGAUAAAAUGUCAGUGCCGAUAGAUAGAAAAUCACCCCUGUUACCUCUACCCUGAAGCAUGCCAUCAGGAUAUUUAUGCUCUUCAGAAGAUGGAUGAUUGGAGUUCAGGAGCGCUGGGCACUGUGCUCCAUGCAUGUAACUGCAGAAAGAACUGCUGGCCAGUGUGCUUGGUUUUAUGAAACAGCUGAUGAAAGGCUCAGCAGACUCAUCUAAACCCUGAUAUCUCUAAACAUUGUUUCCUAGUGGUAAGAAAUCUUCUUUAACGAUCUCAUGUGGGUAUUAUUGUCAAAGCAUUUAUUUACUCACUCAUAAAUCAGGCAGAGGUGUAGCUUGCUGCUGGUCCUACAGGCACUGGAGUGAAUGCAGGAGAAAUUGGUCUGUGGGUUCUCCCCUGGUUGAAAAGGCUCCAUGCUGAUGUACCUGCCCAGGUUGCUCUGUUUAUCUGGAGUGAAACUCUUUGAUUCUUGGGACAAUAUUUGAAGGAAUAUCUUAAUCUUGCUCUACUUGCAUUGCUCAGGUUUGGAUCUGGACCUAAAUGGCUCCAAACCACUUAAAUAGAAGGAGAGAUUUUUGUCCAACUCAAAGGAGGUUUUCUUUCCGUAUUUCUUUAAGGCCUUCUUUGCUUUCAAAAAAUGACCUAUAAAGGUCCAGUGCUUUGCUGGGUAAUGUUUUUGCCUUUCAUUUAGGGUCUUUGUUAUCCCUAUUGGUAGAAUAAUGUUUGAGGAACUGUUGUGUGCCUGUGGUUGAUUUAUGAAGCUGUGUGAUGGCACAGAAAGAUUCAGAUUGUUUAAACAAGCAGAAGUAGUGCUAUUGUUCUUAAGUGCCCCUAAAAGUACCAACAAAUCUUUUUCUGUUUUCUGGCUGUUAGGUGUGUGAAACUACUGAGAAAUAUUAAUUGGACGUGUUUGUGUAUCUAUAAAACAGAUUUUUCAAUCACGAAUUUUGCUGCACCAACUUUCCAUUGAUAACUUUUUAAAUUAAAUUUGAUUUGUGGUUGUUUUUGUUUGUUUGUUUGUUUGUUCCCAGCAUAGCACCAAAUGAGGCUUUGAAAUGCCUGUAAUAAUUUUACCCUUGAAGAACAAUCUUUUGUCAUACCUUCUUGCAAUGCAAACGUCACACGUUGUCCUGAUCCUGUGCUACAACAUAUGCUUUGCUCUGUGGUUCCAAGGCUGCUUGUCAGCACAGACACACAUGCUGUAAAUAGUUGGUAAGAAAAUAAUUGUGCCAUAUGGUUUUAGUGGUGUUGCAAAACUUGUGAUUUUAAAAUCUUUCCUUUUUUUUUUUUUUCCUGUUUAACUUUAAGCAUAUGGUAGCAGUGAGCAUGCUAUAACUUGUGCCAUAAAGCAAACUCAGGUUAAUGCCAAGUAUAUCUACCAUAUGUAUAUUCAUGGUAUCAUCAUACUAGUAUUAGUUAGAGGGAUAAUACACAUCUACAAAAAUAGCUGCAACCAUAUUUUUCCCCAUGGAAGAGCAGCUCGUUAAAACAUUGAGGAGUAAUGAUUGCUUGUGAUUCUCUCCUCUCCAAGUUCUGCAUAAUGGAGUACUACACACUUUCAAUAUAACAAUAAAAUAUCCC